UUUCGGUAAAAAAAAAAAAAAAAAACUAAAUUAAAACACACACACAAUGACGCAAACCACGCAAAUCUCUAAUUUUCUAGGAGAGAGACUGACAGAAAAUAAGAUCAAUUUUUUAGGGUUUCAUCAAAAUUUUGGGGUAAAUUCUAGCGAUUUUGUCUGGAAUUCGCAAUUAGGCUCCAGAUUAAUCGAAUUUCUUGGCUGCGACAUUCUCUCACGUUGCUUGCUUGCUGUUCAUCGAGCAGAAGGGUUGAAUUGGGGUUUCGCAUAAUAAUUCGAACAAGUUAAGAGGAGAAACCUUGAUCGUGUUCAUAAGGAUCUCAAACUUGAUCCUCAUCUUUUCAGCUUGACGACUUGCUACAUCUUGAGCCAAUGUCCAAUCAUAAAAUCUCCUGCUUUCAUCAUCACUCAAAACAUUGUAGAUUUCUCUAAGUCUCAUGAACUUCUCUGAUGAGGAUCAAAUCUUACAAUCUUUCACCAUAGAAAGAAUCUGAUUAAAUAUAGAGUGAAAUUCAUUAAUUGAAACUGUAGAGUUUCAAUUUUAGAAGUUUAUUCUCGUUCUUCAAGCUGUAUUUCCUAUCCUUGAAUGGGGAAGAGGUUAUAAUCUCAAGAAGUUUAGAGGAGACCUCAUUUCUGGUCCUCACUAUUGCUAGUCUCUGUAUCCCUCAUGUAUGCAAUGAAAUUCCAUUGUUUCCGGUCCAAAAAUCAUCUGUGACUCUCUUUGUUUUGUUGGUGUAACAGGAUAUAGCGUAUUCUAAACUUGCAAACUUAGACCCGCAAUAUGGAUUGUGUAAGCUCUACUUGCACAACUCUAGUUUUUAUUUAGCAGUCAGGGUGCAAAUAUGCGAUAUUAAUUAAUUAAAUUUAGUUCGUGCUUUGUCUAUAUACAACUGAAUUACUUAUACAGUGUCUCUUUGAGCCAAGGCGGUUGUAGCCUUCAACACUUGCUCAGUUGGGGUCUUGGGGAGAAUCAAAGGAAUUGCAGUUGUCUAUAGUUUGUGUUUGCUGUUUUCACUAAUGAGGUUAAAUUAAAAAAGAAAAACACGAAUCUUAUAAAAAAUACCCCUAAUAUAUAUGAUAAUCAGGCAAUCAUUCAGAUUAUUCUUCUUGAUAUUGAUUGAUUGGAGCUUCGAAGUUCUUGAAAGUUAUUUGUUGUUUAAUCAUCAGAUGAAUUGCCAGGUGAAAUUUCUUACCUCUAACCAACUGUCAUUUCUUCUGCCUUAUUUGCUAUCAGAUUAGAAGAAGAGAGGGACUCAGCUUUAUCAAAUCUAGAGAGAAUGAUUCUGAAUUAACUAAGAGAGUGUUUAUUAGGGUUAAUUGGAUAUGGAGAGCGGGAUUCCCAAUUAACUAGAAUUGGUUUUGUAGGGUUCGAAGUUCGUAAUACGAAAAUCGCAACUCACCGGCAAAGAAUUUUUUUAGAGUACAUCGAAUUUCUUGCAAGUUACCGGAUUUAUGGAUUGCUGGAUCUCUUGAUACAAGGUACGACAACAAAUUCAUUAUUUAUGUAUUGAUUAUUAUGGUUCUGUAUCAAUUGAGCUUCAUGAUGUUUUUAGUUAAAUGCAAAUUAAAUUAUAGUGUUUUGGCCUUUGUGCGUGUUGGGAGGAUUACCAUCAUCUUUUGCUGCUGCUGCUUCUCAUGUUUAUCAAAUUAUGCCUUGUUCAUGAGUUAUAAAAUUAGUUUAAUUGUAGUUGCGGUUUCUAAUUUUUGUGUAGUUGACAAAGAUGGUCCAUGACGAAUUUCUAUGGCAUGAAUUAUGAAUAAAGAGGGUCUGAAAAUUAAAUACUUUGUAUUUACUAGCUGAAAAUGAUAAAAAAAAGGGUUUUGAGAACUACGAAGAGCUUGAACUGUAUUGCUACUAUGUAGCAGGAACUGGUGGCUUAAUGAGUGUUCCGGUAGCAGGAAUUUCACCAGAGUCUGUAAGUUCCACAUAAAGCAUUUAUAAAGCCACUCUUUCAUUGAGUACCGCAUUACAACUAACAUCCUAAAAGAUGUAGAAGAAGAGAAAGCUUUCUUCGAAUUACUGUAAGGAAUUUUGACUUGGCAGGCUGUUUUUGUGUUCAUCCAAACUAACAGUACCUAUUUUUUCAAUGUAGUGCUUUAAGGGGGAGAGUGUACUUGUAUAGUUGGACAGAAGGAUCUGAUCUGGCGAUGCUCAAUUUAUUCUUCAAGAACCAUUGUCUGUUCUUUACCACAACAGCCUCAAGGUGUGAAUUAUCACAGAAAUCCACAUAUGCAAGACCCCUUGAUUUCCCAGUAUGCAAGGCCCCUCGCUAUAUUAUUGUUCCUGCUCAGGUUGGUUCAAACUUUAAACACAAUUUCUACUUCCUCUGUCCUAAAAUAGUAAGUUGUAUUUGAUUUGAGUCAUUUUAAGGAUUUGAGAUUUUCAUUUAAAAAUAGUCGUAUCUAGGUGAAAUUUCAUGCUUUUAUUUGAAUAAACAUGAAAUUUAUUAUAUUAUUUAUCGUGUUUUAGCUAGUGCACCAAAGUUUAAUCUGUAAGUGUUAUCUGGGGCAUGGACUGAUUCCUUAAGAAUUGUUGAAACAGAAGCCAUGCAAGUCGAGGGCGGGUCAACGGAACCUCAUGCCCUGCACCCCUGACUGUCACAUAGGAUAGUCCACAUUAUAUACUUGGCUCCAUGCAAAAUUUAAGUCAUAAAGGAAUUAACCUUCUACUUCUGAUGAUCAUGUUAUUAGGGUAACCCUAUACGAUUUUGGGAUAAGGUCACUUGCUUGGUUCCUUGUUUGUGUUUACUUGCAAUGCAGCAGUAGCAGUAACAGUGUGAGGUUUCCCUUACUUCUGACAACUUGGUGGGGGGUUUACUUUGCUGUUUCCAAUUAUUCCCUUGUAACAAAGCUGAUUCAUUUGGGAGAUUAUGGAGAUCUCCAACUUUAUAACUUUCUAGUUUUAGGGUCAGAUAUCCUAUAUGUCAUCUCAGGGAUUUUCUUUUUCUUUUGCUGGAAUCCUUGUUCUGUCGUAGCUGUUAGUGAUGAUGAGGGUGGCCUUCAUGAAUCCCUUUUGGUUAAAGAUACAAAUCUUGGCUUGGAUUCAGAUUGUUUACCGACUAGACUAAAACGGAAUGAACUCACUGAAUUGGUUAAAGGUACAAUCUUGGUAUGUAUUCAGGUUGUUUGGAUUCAUAAAUGUUCGGACCAAUCUGUUUUUCAGAAAUUUGAAAGAAUUUUGUUUAUCUCCUAUGAGCACAUUCAAUUCUUACUGUCCUUUCACACAAGAGCAGGCGUGACAGCAUGUAUGGUCCUGCUACAGCCAAGCUGCACAAUACGGAGUAUAAUUUGUCUGAACUUGGCACAAUUAUUUUUCAUGGAAUUAUCAACUAACUAUACAUGUGAUUUAGGACAAAUCUACAAUAGUGCAACAUAACUGAUGAGUGUAAAAAUGCUCCAACUUCUUUGUUGUAGAAUGUUAGUAUGGAGUAUUCUACUGCAUUUAAAUUUCUUUGUUGUUAGCUCGCAUUCUAUCUUGUGGUAAUGUACCCUUUUGUGAAUUUUGGAGCUCGAAACUCUGCACAAUAUUCUUAUUUUGAAUUUCAGAAAGAAAAUUAUCAACUACAUACAGUGAUAAUAUCUGAUAUUGGACAUAAGGUAACUGCUUUGUAUUAACCGCUUUUUCCUUUAGGUAAUAAUACUUUAUUUGCCAAAAAAAAUGCUACCUUGAGAUGGAUGCUGACAUACUGUUGUAUACCUGAUCUUUAUACUACAGGUUUUGGCUUAGUCCCCGACUAUGGGUGAUUUUGUGAAGAAUAAUAAUCCCAAACAAAAGCAUCAUCAGGUUAAGCAAGGUGAGCUAAAUGGAGAAGAAAUGUAGAUCUAGCAAUGACACGGUGGAGGCUCUUGUUUGUUUUUGAGUCAUUUUGUGAUUUCUAGUAGUGUACAUUGAAUUUGUUUAUGUGGAUUUUAAUUUUAUGCAUUUUGUCAUUAAAAACACUAAAUUAAUUAGUGAACGAUUAUUUUGUAAUGCAUGUGUCCUAUGGGCACUAAUAUUGUAAUAUUACUCUUUAAGUCAAUGAAAAUCUUUUAUUAUUGA